GUUCCUAUGGUCUAGUGGUUAUGACGCUUCGUUGUGGUUCAUCGAAGCUAUCCCGAAGCAGCCCGUGUUCGAUUCACGGUGGGGACA